rnacentral:tRNA from 1 species
GGGCCCAUAGCUCAGUGGUGAGAGCCCCCGGCUCAUAACCGGGUCGUCCUUGGUUCGAAUCCAAGUGGGCCCAC